AGUGAACGCUGGCGGUAGGCCUAACACAUGCAAGUCGAACGGCAGCACAGGAGAGCUUGCUCUCUGGGUGGCGAGUGGCGGACGGGUGAGGAAUACAUCGGAAUCUACUCUGUCGUGGGGGAUAACGUAGGGAAACUUACGCUAAUACCGCAUACGACCUACGGGUGAAAGCAGGGGACCUUCGGGCCUUGCGCGAUUGAAUGAGCCGAUGUCGGAUUAGCUAGUUGGCGGGGUAAAGGCCCACCAAGGCGACGAUCCGUAGCUGGUCUGAGAGGAUGAUCAGCAACACUGGAACGGAGACACGGUCCAGACUCCUACGGGGGGCAGCAGUGGGGAAUAUUGGACAAUGGGCGCAAGCCUGAUCCAGCCAUACCGCGUGGGUGAAGAAGGCCUUCGGGUUGUAAAGCCCUUUUGUUGGGAAAGAAAUCCAGCUGGCUAAUACCCGGUUGGGAUGACGGUACCCAAAGAAUAAGCACCGGCUAACUUCGUGCCAGCCGCCGCAGUAA
rnacentral:rRNA from 1 species